UCUUAGAACGGAAAAUGUCAGAGAUGGGAGGGCAUUAGAAUAAGGGAUGGCAGAACUGGGAGUGAUUUUAGAACAGGGAGUAUCAGAGCUGGGAAUAUUAGAACAUGGGAUAUCAAGGCUGGAACACUUCAAUGUUUUGAAAGGUCUCCAUCUUCCACAUGGAAACUCCCUUUACUGGCAUAGAUGGCAACCCUUCCAUGUUUCAAUAGAUGGCAACAGCUUGGUCCAAUUAUGAAAAGACUUUGGAAUAUUUAACAUCAGGUGCAAUAGAGACCUCCUGGGGAGAGAAAGAUUCUUCGAGCAAAGUGGUUAGUGAACUGGUCCUGGAAUUAGGAGAGCCUGCUUUCAACCUCAGACACUUACCAGUUGCAUGAUCCAUGACAAGUCAUUUAACCCCAAUUGCCUCAACAACAAUAACGGGACAACAAAGAAAACAAAGAAAAGAAAAUGAAGUUCAAGGUAAGUGAUGGAUAAUAAGUUCUAAAUAAAUAUUUGUUGAUUAUCAGUCACUGAGCUAAGAUCUGAGGUAUGGUGACCAUAGAAGGUCAAAUAAUUA